UAGCACAGCUCCUCUCUAAAACCACUCUGAUGUUGUUUUCUCACACUGUCUGACUGUUAUAUCAGACAGGUAGACAGUUCCCCCUCACACUGUCUGACUGUGUUAUAUCAGACAGGCAGACAGUGUUAUAUCAGACAGGUAGACAGUUCCCCUCACACUGUGUUAUAUCAGACAGGUAGACUGUGUUAUAUCAGACAGGUAGACAGUUCCCCUCACACUGUGUUAUAUCAGACAGGUAGACAGGUAGACUGUGUUAUAUCAGACAGGUAGACAGGUAGACUGUGUUAUAUCAGACAGGUAGACAGGUAGACUGUGUUAUAUCAGACAGGUAGACAGCUCCUCCUCACACUGUGUUAUCUCAGACAGGUAGACAGUUCCCCUCACACUGUGUUAUCUCAGACAGGUAGACAGUCUCCUCACACUGUGUUAUCUCAGACAGGUAGACUGUGUUAUAUCAGACAGGUAGACAGCUCCCCUCACACUGUCUGACUGUGUUAUAUCAGACAGGUAGACUGUGUUAUAUCAGUCAGGUAGACAGCUCCCCCUCACACUGUGUUAUA